UACGUAGGGGGCGAGCGUUGUCCGGAUUUACUGGGCGUAAAGCGCACGCAGGCGGUCUGCUAAGUUUGGAGUGACAGUUGGUGGCUUAACUGCCAAAGUGCUUCGAAAACUGACAGACUUGAGGGCUUCAGAGGGACACGGAAUUCCGGGUGGAGUGGCGAAAUGCGUAGAGAUCCGGAGGAACACCAAAGGCGAAGGCAGUGUCCUGGGGAGUACCUGACGCUCAGGUGCGAAAGCCAGGGGAGCGAACGGG
rnacentral:rRNA from 1 species